GCCUGCUCAGCAACCAAGAAAGGGGAUGGUCUGGAAUAUGAGGGCAAAUGUAGUUUGGUUGAGAGUAAUUGUGUUGUGAUAAUAUGCAUUAUUUUUAGAUGGAGAACAAGAGACAAGAUCAACUCAAACCCGAAGAACUCUAUGCAGGAAGACUCCAAUAAACUCUGGGAACUGGAAGCACUGCAACAAGUAGCACUGUGUCCUGUUCAAGCAAAACUGUUCCAAGAGAAGGCAGACCAACUGGAAAGAGUCCAGAACAAAGCAGAGAAAAUGGUCAGUUGUCUUGGGAAAAAAGAAAAGUCACAAGAAAGAGGGAUUGAAAGAGUUUGAGUUACUCAGUUUAAAGAGCAGAAUGACAACUAAACACAUGAGAACCAUCAUCUACAAAGGUAUCUGUAGGGAGGAUUCAGAUAAGAAGACUUCUAGAGAAGUCUUCUUACCUGCUGAAGCCUGCCCUUCUGGUAAGCUGCUCCACCAACUGCUAACAAGGCACAGAGCUCAUUUGCCUCAGGGGCCACUUACUAUGAUCAGAGAUGAAAGACACAGAACUGUGUGAAAUGAGAUGUGGGCAGAAAAUAUGGAGACACACCUUGUUAGAGGGCUGCAGAA